rnacentral:rRNA from 1 species
AUGGGCCGCGCGUUCGCGUACGUGAUCCUGGGCGGCGGCGUGGCCGCGGGCUACGCGGCGCUCGAGUUCGCCCGCCGCCGCGCCGGCGCCUCCCCCGGCGAGCUCUGCAUCAUCUCCGACGAGGCCGUCGCUCCUUACGAACGCCCUGCACUAAGCAAGGGCUAUCUGCUCCCACAAGGCGCUGCUCGUCUCCCGGCGUUUCAUACCUGCGCUGGUGCUAACGAUGAGGUGCUCACGGAGCAAUGGUACAAAGAUCACGGUAUCGAACUUGUUCUUGCGACGAGGGUGAUCUCCGCCGAUGUCCGGCGGAAGACGCUGCUCACAGACUCCGGGGAAACCAUCGGCUACAAAACCCUCAUCGUAGCGACAGGCGCCCGGGAGGAAAGGAUGAACGAGGGAAGACUUUAUCUGCAAAUGUGGAGAGGAGUGCGGGCCUCGGAGCUGGAGGAAUUUGGAGUUCGCGGUUCGGACGCGGCCAACGUGUGCUACCUGCGCAGCCUCGAGGAUGCCGAUAAAAUGGUGGGGGUGAUGAAACCGUGCCAUGGUGGAAACGCUGUUGUCAUCGGUGGUGGUUACAUAGGAAUGGAGUGCGCGGCGGCCUUGGUUGCCAAUGAGAUCAAGGUCACCAUGGUCUUCCCGGGAAAACACUGCAUGGGUCGUCUUUUUACACCGAAGAUCGCUGAAUUUUAUGAGAAGUACUACGCUGCAAAAGGGGUUGUUUUCGUCAAAGGAACUGCGGUUAAAUCCUUGGAGGUCUCAGAUGGGAAGGUGGCUGCGGCGAUCCUGCGAGACGGCAGGCGGCUUCCCGCGGACAUGGUGGUCGUCGGCAUCGGCGCUCGCGCCAACACCGGCCUCUUCGACGGCCAGCUGGCCAUGGAGAGGGGCGGGAUCAAGGUGAACGGGCGGAUGCAGACGAGCGACGCCGCCGUGUACGCCGUGGGCGACGUGGCCGCGUUCCCCGUCGCGCUCCUGGGCGGCGACGUGCGCCGCUUCGAGCACGUCGACUGCGCGCGCAGGACCGCGCGGCGGGCCAUCGAGGCGAUCUUGGAGCCCUCCGGCGGCGCCGCGGAGGAGGGGAAAGCCUUCGGCUACCUGCCGUACUUCUACUCCAGGGUCUUCGCCCUGUCCUGGCAGUUCUACGGCGACAACGCCGGAGAAGCCGUCCACUUCGGGGACUUCUCGCCGCCGGUGGCCGGGGGAAAGCCAAAGUUCGGGGCCUGCUGGGUCAGCGGAGGCCGGGUCGCCGGCGCCUUCAUCGAAGGCGGGAGCCCGGAGGAGAACGAGGCGAUGGCGAGCGCCGUGCGCAGCCGGGCGGCGAUCGCGGACCUGGCCGCCGAACUCGGGAGCCGCGGCCUCGGGUUCGCCGAUGAGGAGAGCCGCCGGAAGGGGGUGCGUCGGGGUGCGCUCGCCGCCGGCGACAGGCCUACCUAUGCGCGGCACGCCACGGUCGGGGUCGCUGCGGCGGUGUCCAUCGCGGCGUUCGCGUACUGGUACGGCUGGAUGGCGCCGUACGUGGUGAAACGUGAUUUCUCCGACCCUAAGUUAUGA